UGUUGUUUUAUUUGGCUUUGUACAUAAAGGCAUCUCAUGAGAGGAUUGUUUUGCUGAUGCAUCUGAAGUGUAACUGCUGUUCUGAAGGUGAUAACAAAGAGACAACAUUUUCACGCCAAAAUCUCCCGCUGUCUGAUUGCUGGAGUUAUAAAUGUGCAUAUGGCAGCAUGUUCUUGAUGAUGUCAGCCAGUGUUUGAAUCCCACUGGUCACUCAGGACUCUUCUCCAUUGAAGGGCUGUGUACAGCUCAACUGCUAACAGAGUAAAUGCUAAGGGAUUCUGUGUGCACCCUGUCUGACUUUUACUUAGAAAUAAAGAUAAACCUCUCCUUUUCCAAAGAAUUAAAAGUUGUCAUUUAACAA